rnacentral:rRNA from 1 species
AUACGGAGGGUGCAAGCGUUGUUCGGAAUCACUGGGCGUAAAGGGCGCGCAGGCGGUUUGGUAAGUCAGAUGUGAAAGCCCACGGCUCAACCGUGGAAGUGCAUUUGAAACUGCCAGACUUGAGUACCAGAGGGGAAAGUGGGAUUCCCGGUGUAGAGGUGAAAUUCGUAGAUAUCGGGAGGAAUACCGGUGGCGAAGGCGACUUUCUGGCUGGAUACUGACGCUGAGGCGCGAAAGCGUGGGGAGCAAACAGGAUUAGAAACCCUAGUAGUCC